CACGUAGGCGAAUAUUUAAGUCAGGGGGUGAAAUCCCAGAGCUCAACUCUGGAACUGCCUUUGAUACUGGGUAUCUUGAGUAUGGAAGAGGUAAGUGGAAUUCCGAGUGUAGGGGUGAAAUUCGUAGAUAUUCGGAGGAACACCAGUGGCGAAGGCGGCUCACUGGCCCGAUACUGACGCUGAGGCACGAAAGCGUGGGGAGCAAACA
rnacentral:rRNA from 1 species